rnacentral:rRNA from 1 species
UGCUUCUAGCUUUCUUAUUAGAAGUUCAUCCUGCCCAGUGAUAUUUUAAAUUCAACGGCCGCGGUAUCCUGACCGUGCAAAGGUAGCAUAAUCAUUUGCCUUUUAAUUGAAGGCUCGUAUGAAUGGACACACGAAACUAAUGCUGUCUCACUAAAACCUCUAAAAAUUAGAUUUCAGGUGAAGAUACCUGAAUUCAUCUAAAAGACAAGAAGACCCUGUAGAGUUUUAAAGUUUUAAUUUUUCUAUAAUUUUAGACUUUUUGGUUGGGGCGACCGAGGAUUAAAAAUAACAUCCUCACUAAUUUAGAGACAUCUCUCACUCCUAAAGACCCUAUUUUAUUGAUCUUCAAAAUUAACUACCUCAGGGAUAACAGGCUUAUCUUCCUAGAGAGCUCAUAUUGAUAGGAAGGUUUGGCACCUCGAUGUUGGCUUAGAGUAUCCUAUAAAUGCAGAAGUUUAUUAAGGUUAGUUUGUUCAACUAUUAAAACUCU